AGAAUCAACGCUGGCGGCGUGCCUAACACAUGCAAGUCGCACGAGAAAGUGGAGCAAUCCACGAGUAAAGUGGCGCACGGGUGAGUAACACGUGAAUAAUCUACCUCCGAGUGGGGAAUAACUGAGAGAAAUCUUAGCUAAUACCGCAUAAUACCCACGGGUCAAAGCAGCAAUGCGCUUGGAGAGGAGUUCGCGGCCGAUUAGCUAGUUGGCGGGGUAAUGGCCCACCAAGGCGAUGAUCGGUAUCCGGCCUGAGAGGGCGCACGGACACACUGGAACUGAAACACGGUCCAGACUCCUACGGGAGGCAGCAGUGGGGAAUUUUGCGCAAUGGGGGAAACCCUGACGCAGCAACGCCGCGUGGAGGAUGAAAUCCCUUGGGAUGUAACUCCUUUCGAUAGGGAAGAUAAUGACGGUACCUAUAGAAGAAGCCCGGCUAACUUCGCGCCAGCAGCCGC
rnacentral:rRNA from 1 species